rnacentral:rRNA from 1 species
AGUGAGGAAUAUUGGGCAAUGGCCGAAAGGCUGACCCAGCAACGCCGCGUGGAGGAUGAAUGUCGUAAGAUUGUAAACUCCUUUUUUUAGGGACGAAAAAAUUAAACUCGUAAGGGUUUAGUCUUGACUGUACCUAAAGAAUAAGCCCCGGCUAACUACGUGCCAGCAGCCGCGGUAAUACGUAGGGGGCAAGCGUUGUCCGGAUUUACUGGGUGUAAAGGGCGCGUAGGCGGAUUUGUAAGUCAGAGGUGAAAUCCUACAGCUUAACUGUAGAACUGCCUUUGAUACUGUGAAUCUUGAGUGCGAAAGAGAGAGGCGGAAUUCCAGGUGUAGUGGUGAAAUACGUAGAUAUCUGGAAGAACACCGGUGGCGAAGGCGGUCUCUUGGUUCGCUACUGACGCUGAGGCGCGAAAGCAUGGGUAGCAAACAGGAUUAGAUACCCUGGUAGUCCAUGCUGUAAACGAUGAAUACUAGAUGUUGGUCCUUUAAGGAGCAGUGUCGCAGUUAACGCAUUAAGUAUUCCACCUGGGAAGUACGAUCGCAAGGUUGAAACUCAAAGGAAUUGACGGGGGCCCGCACAAGCAGUGGAGCAUGUGGUUUAAUUCGAUGCAACGCGAAGAACCUUACCUGGGCUUGAAAAGCAGCGGACUGGUUGUGAAAGCAGCCUUCUCUUCGGAGUCGCUGUACAGGUGCUGCAUGGCUGUCGUCAGCUCGUGCCGUGAGGUGUUGGGUUAAGUCCCGCAACGAGCGCAACCCUUACUAUUAGUUGCCAUCAGGUAAAGCUGAGCACUCUAAUAGGACUGCCUACGUAAGUAGUGAGGAAGGUGAGGAUGACGUCAAGUCAGCACGGCCCUUACGCCCAGGGCUACACACGUGCUACAAUGGAUGUUACAAUAGGUUGCUAAACCGCGAGGUGGAGCUAAUCCUAUAAAGGCAUCCUCAGUUCGGAUUGGAGUCUGAAACCCGACUCCAUGAAGCUGGAAUUGCUAGUAAUCGCGCAUCAGCACGGCGCGGUGAAUACGUUCCCGGGCCUUGUACACACCGCCCGUCAAGCCAUGGAAGCUGGGGGUACCCGAAGUCAGUGACCCAACCGUGAUUUAUCUCGGAGGGAGCUGCCUAAGGUAAAACUAGUGACUGGGGCU